UACGUAGGGUGCAAGCGUUAAUCGGAAUUACUGGGCGUAAAGCGUGCGCAGGCGGUUUUGUAAGUCUGUCGUGAAAUCCCCGGGCUCAACCUGGGAAUUGCGAUGGAGACUGCAAGGCUAGAAUCUGGCAGAGGGGGGUAGAAUUCCACGUGUAGCAGUGAAAUGCGGUAGAGAUGUGGAGGAACACCGAUGGCGAAGGCAGCCCCCUGGGUCAAGAUUGACGCUCAUGCACGAAAGCGUGGGGAGCAAACAGG
rnacentral:rRNA from 1 species